AGUUAAGGAACUGUGAAGACGAGGAGUUAAGGAACUGUGUAGACGAGGAGUUAAGGAACUGUGUAGACGAGGAGUUAAGGAACUGUGUAGACGAGGAGUUAAGGAACUGUGUAGACGAGGAGUUAAGGAACUGUGUAGACGAGGGAGAGUGA